UCGGCAAUGGACGAAAGUCUGACCGAGCAACGCCGCGUGUGCGAUGAAGGCCUUCGGGUUGUAAAGCACUGUCGAGGGGAAACAAGCCGUAAGGUUGAGUGACCCCUGGAGGAAGCACGGGCUAAGUUCGUGCCAGCAGCCGCGGUAAGACGAACCGUGCAAACGUUAUUCGGAAUCACUGGGCUUAAAGGGCGCGUAGGCUGCGCGGUAAGUUGGGUGUGAAAGCCCUCGGCUCAACCGAGGAACUGCGCUCAAAACUACCGUGCUGGAGGGAGACAGAGGUGAGCGGAACUCAGGGUGGAGCGGUGAAAUGCGUUGAUAUCCUGAGGAACACCGGUGGCGAAGGCGGCUCACUGGGUCUCUUCUGACGCUGAGGCACGAAAGCCAAGGUAGCAAACGGGAUUAGAUACCCCGGUAGUCUUGGCUGUAAACGAUGAGCACUUGAUUGAAGGGUCCUCCAUAGCCUUUCAGUCGUAGCGAAAGUGUUAAGUGCUCCGCCUGGGGAGUAUGGUCGCAAGGCUGAAACUCAAAGGA
rnacentral:rRNA from 1 species